GCUGGUGUUUGUAGUUUCAGCAGAUCCGACAGGAACUCCAUUCGACUCCAGUGUGUUAGUUACAGGUCAUCCAGCUGUGACCGAUCACACACAGAUGGCUGGUUCAGUCACUGAACAGUACAACCCAUCUGGUCAGGGUCCUGAAGGUGCAGAAAAUGUGGAAUUGGAGGAUACCUGCUGACUUCCACAUAAAGCCGCAAGUUCGGUUCCUGCGCUAUCGCUUCCAGUGUACCGACCAAUCAGCAUGGCCCAGGAAAUCACCCCCCUCCCACUAGCUGCAGGCCAUGCCCACUGAGCGUCAGCAGCUCAUUGGUGUUUUUUUAAAUAUUUAAAACGUGGAAUUCUGUUUAUAGACGUUUAUUUUGUUUAAGAGAAAAAUAAGUAAAAAUAAGAUUUCAGUUAGGUUUUCAUAAGUUUCUGUUUGACUUGAUGUGAUGUCAGCU